UCUCCUGGAAACGGGUGGUAAUGCCGGAUGUUCCACAUGAGCGCAUGCGAGUGUGGGAAAGGCUUUUUGCGGCAUGGGAUGGGGUCGCGUCCUAUCAGCUUGUUGGUGGGGUAACGGCCUACCAAGGCGUUGACGGGUAGCCGGCCUGAGAGGGCGACCGGCCACAUUGGGACUGAGAUACGGCCCAGACUCCUACGGGAGGCAGCAGUGGGGAAUAUUGCACCAUGGGCGCAAGCCUGAUGCAGCGACGCCGCGUGCGGGAUGGAGGCCUUCGGGUUGUAAACCGCUUUUGUUCAAGGGCAAGGCACGGUUUCGGCCGUGUUGAGUGGAUUGUUCGAAUAAGCACCGGCUAACUACGUGCCAGCAGCCGCGGUAAUACGUAGGGUGCAAGCGUUAUCCGGAUUUAUUGGGCGUAAAGGGCUCGUAGGCGGUUCGUCGCGUCCGGGUGUGAAAGUCCAUCGCUUAACGGUGGAUCCGCGCCGGGUACGGGCGGGCUUGAGUGCGGUAGGGAGACUGGAAAUUCCCGGUGUAACGGUGGAAUGUUGUAGAUAUCGGGAAGAAACACCA
rnacentral:rRNA from 1 species